rnacentral:misc_RNA from 1 species
GGAAGGAUCAUUACAAAUGACCAGGUGGCAGAUACUUUUGUCUGCAGCCAUCGCGGUCGAUCAACUGUUGCCGUAGUCAUGUUCCGGCAUGGCUUCGUGUCCACCCAAUGUGAAUCUUUAUACCUUGCUUCGGCAGCGCUCAGCGAUUAAACCCCGCGGAGGUAAGGCUGUCGAUAGCACAUAACAUAACUAGUUUAUUAAAUUUCAUGCUGUCUGAAGCCUUUUGAGAAAUCAAAUUACAAGUUAAAACUUUCAGCAACGGAUCUCUUGGUUCUCGCAUCGAUGAAGAACGCAGCGAAACGCGAUAGGUAAUGUGAAUUGCAGAAUUCCGUGAAUCAUUGAAUCUUUGAACGCACAUUGCGCCUUCUGGUAUUCCGGGAGGCAUGCCUGUUUGAGCGUCAGCAAAAAACCCUUCAGCAAAUUAUUUUACUAUAGUUUGUUAGGUAUUGAGCUUGGAGGAAACGGACCUCACCGUCCUGCUCCUGCUUUAAACUUGCUGCACGACCGCAAGCUAUUGCUAGGUCUAUGGAAGUGGUGUUUACAUAUAUUUUCCAGUACGAUCAGGCUAGUUUUGUGGCGUUAAAUCAAUGUUGCCCUCUAAAGCAACUGAAGUUUGACCUCAAAUCAGACAAGGAUACCCGCUGAACUUAAGCAUAUCAAUAAGCGGAGGAAAAGAAACCAACAGGGAUUGCCUCAGUAACGGCGAGUGAAGCGGCAAGAGCUCAGAUUUGAAAUCUGGUACUUUCAGUGCCCGAGUUGUAAUCUGCAGAGAGUACUUCGGCUUAGGCUCCGGUCAAGGUCCCUUGGAACAGGGCGACAUAGAGGGUGAGAACCCCGUACCCGGCCGUUUGCCAAUGCCGUGUGAAGUCUCUUCGACGAGUCGAGUUGUUUGGGAAUGCAGCUCUAAACGGGUGGUAAAUUCCAUCUAAAGCUAAAUAUCUGCGAGAGACCGAUAGCGCACAAGUAGAGUGAUCGAAAGAUGAAAAGCACUUUGAAAAGAGAGUUAAAUAGUACGUGAAAUUGUUGAAAGGGAAGCGCUUGCCAUCAGAAUUGGGGUAGGUUGAUCAGCGUUCCUUCUGGUUCGUGCACUCAGCCUGCAUCCAUGCCAGCACCAGUUGCGGCGGCAGGAUAAAGGUGGUGGGAAUGUGGCUCUCUUCGGGGAGUGUUAUAGCCCAUCACGUCAUGCUGCCAGCCGCGACUGAGGACCGCGCCCUAGGCAAGGGUGCUGGCUUAACGGUUGUAAGCGACCCGUCUUGAAACACGGACCAAGGAGUCUAACAUCUAUGCGAGUGUUUGGGUGAUCAAGCCCAUACGCGAAAUGAAAGUGAACGGAGGUGAGAGCCCGCAAGGGUGCAUCAUCGACCGAUCCUGAUGUCUUCGGAUGGAUUUGAGUAGGAGCAUAGCUGUUGGGACCCGAAAGAUGGUGAACUAUGCCUGAAUAGGGUGAAGCCAGAGGAAACUCUGGUGGAGGCUCGCAGCGGUUCUGACGUGCAAAUCGAUCGUCAAAUUUGGGUAUAGGGGCGAAAGACUAAUCGAACCAUCUAGUAGCUGGUUCCUGC